UAAACCGAGUUUCAGUUCAUGUAAACAUCCUACACUCAGCUGUAACACAUGGACUGGCUGGGAGGUGGGUGUUUACUUCAGCUGACUUGGAAUGU
rnacentral:miRNA from 1 species